CCUACGGGAGGCAGCAGUGAGGAAUAUUGGUCAAUGGACGAGAGUCUGAACCAGCCAAGUAGCGUGAAGGAUGACUGCCCUAUGGGUUGUAAACUUCUUUUAUAUGGGAAUAAAACGUUCCACGUGUGGGAUUUUGUAUGUACCAUAUGAAUAAGGAUCGGCUAACUCCGUGCCAGCAGCCGCGGUAAUACGGAGGAUCCGAGCGUUAUCCGGAUUUAUUGGGUUUAAAGGGAGCGUAGGUGGAUUGUUAAGUCAGUUGUGAAAGUUUGCGGCUCAACCGUAAAAUUGCAGUUGAAACUGGCAGUCUUGAGUACAGUAGAGGUGGGUGGAAUUCGUGGUGUAGCGGUGAAAUGCUUAGAUAUCACGAAGAACUCCGAUUGCGAAGGCAGUUCACUGGACUGCAACUGACACUGAGGCUCGAAAGUGUGGGUAUCAAACAGGAUUAGAUACCCUUGUAGUC
rnacentral:rRNA from 1 species